rnacentral:rRNA from 1 species
AGUAACGCGUGAGCAAUCUGCCUUGGAGUGGGGAAUAACGGUUGGAAACAGCCGCUAAUACCGCAUGAUACAGCUAUCCCGCAUGGGGUUGGCUGUCAAAGAUUUAUCGCUCUGAGAUGAGCUCGCGUCUGAUUAGCUUGUUGGCGGGGUAACGGCCCACCGGGGCGACGAUCAGUAGGGGUUCUGAGAGGAAGGUCCCCCACAUUGGAACUGAGACACGGUCCAAACUCCUACGGAAGGCAGCAG